GCCACCUUAGCUCAGCUGGUAGAGCAACGGUUUUGUAAACCGUAGGUCAUCGGUUCAAGUCCGAUAGGUGGCUCCA
rnacentral:tRNA from 1 species